rnacentral:rRNA from 1 species
UGGCGGACGGGUGGGUAACGCGUGGAAAACCUGCCGUAUACUGGGGGAUAACACUUAGAAAUAGGUGCUAAUACCGCAUAAGCGCACAGCUUCGCAUGAAGCGGUGUGAAAAACUCUGGUGGUAUACGAUGGUUCCGCGUCUGAUUAGCUAGUUGGUGGGGUAAUGGCCUACCAAGGCAACGAUCAGUAGCCGGCCUGAGAGGGUGAACGGCCACAUUGGGACUGAGACACGGCCCAAACUCCUACGGAAGGCAGCAG